GGUUAAGCGACUAAGCGUACACGGUGGAUGCCCUGGCAGUCAGAGGCGAUGAAGGACGUGCUAAUCUGCGAAAAGCGUCGGUAAGGUGAUAUGAACCGUUACAGCCGGCGAUGUCCGAAUGGGGAAACCCAGUGCAAUUCGUUGCACUAUCGUUAACUGAAUACAUAGGUUAACGAGGCGAACCGGGGGAACUGAAACAUCUAAGUACCCCGAGGAAAAGAAAUCAACCGAGAUUCCCCCAGUAGCGGCGAGCGAACGGGGAGCAGCCCAGAGUCUGAAUCAGCUUGUGUGUUAGUGGAACGGUCUGGAAAGUCCGACGGUACAGGGUGAUAGUCCCGUACACCAAAAUGCACAGGCUGUGAACUCGAAGAGUAGGGCGGGACACGUGGUAUCCUGUCUGAAUAUGGGGGGACCAUCCUCCAAGGCUAAAUACUCCUGACUGACCGAUAGUGAACCAGUACCGUGAGGGAAAGGCGAAAAGAACCCCGGCGAGGGGAGUGAAAAAGAACCUGAAACCGUGUACGUACAAGCAGUGGGAGCACCUUCGGGUGUGACUGCGUACCUUUUGUAUAAUGGGUCAGCGACUUAUAUUCUGUAGCAAGGUUAACCGUAUAGGGGAGCCGCAGGGAAACCGAGUCUUAACUGGGCGUUAAGUUGCAGGGUAUAGACCCGAAACCCGGUGAUCUAGCCAUGGGCAGGUUGAAGGUUGGGUAACACUAACUGGAGGACCGAACCGACUAAUGUUGAAAAAUUAGCGGAUGACUUGUGGCUGGGGGUGAAAGGCCAAUCAAACCGGGAGAUAGCUGGUUCUCCCCGAAAGCUAUUUAGGUAGCGCCUCGUGAACUCAUCUUCGGGGGUAGAGCACUGUUUCGGCUAGGGGGUCAUCCCGACUUACCAACCCGAUGCAAACUACGAAUACCGAAGAAUGUUAUCACGGGAGACACACGGCGGGUGCUAACGUCCGUCGUGAAGAGGGAAACAACCCAGACCGCCAGCUAAGGUCCCAAAGUCAUGGUUAAGUGGGAAACGAUGUGGGAAGGCACAGACAGCCAGGAUGUUGGCUUAGAAGCAGCCAUCAUUUAAAGAAAGCGUAAUAGCUCACUGGUCGAGUCGGCCUGCGCGGAAGAUGUAACGGGGCUAAACCAUGCACCGAAGCUGCGGCAGCGACACUAUGUGUUGUUGGGUAGGGGAGCGUUCUGUAAGCCUGCGAAGGUGACCUGUGAGGGUUGCUGGAGGUAUCAGAAGUGCGAAUGCUGACAUAAGUAACGAUAAAGCGGGUGAAAAGCCCGCUCGCCGGAAGACCAAGGGUUCCUGUCCAACGUUAAUCGGGGCAGGGUGAGUCGACCCCUAAGGCGAGGCCGAAAGGCGUAGUCGAUGGGAAACAGGUUAAUAUUCCUGUACUUGGUGUUACUGCGAAGGGGGGACGGAGAAGGCUAUGUUAGCCGGGCGACGGUUGUCCCGGUUUAAGCAUGUAGGCUGGUUAUCCAGGCAAAUCCGGAUAAUCAAGGCUGAGGUGUGAUGACGAGGCACUACGGUGCUGAAGUAACAAAUGCCCUGCUUCCAGGAAAAGCCUCUAAGCAUCAGGUAACAUCAAAUCGUACCCCAAACCGACACAGGUGGUCAGGUAGAGAAUACCAAGGCGCUUGAGAGAACUCGGGUGAAGGAACUAGGCAAAAUGGUGCCGUAACUUCGGGAGAAGGCACGCUGGUGUGUAGGUGAAGUCCCUGCGGAUGGAGCUGAGACCAGUCGAAGAUACCAGCUGGCUGCAACUGUUUAUUAAAAACACAGCACUGUGCAAACACGAAAGUGGACGUAUACGGUGUGACGCCUGCCCGGUGCCGGAAGGUUAAUUGAUGGGGUUAUCCGUAAGGAGAAGCUCUUGAUCGAAGCCCCGGUAAACGGCGGCCGUAACUAUAACGGUCCUAAGGUAGCGAAAUUCCUUGUCGGGUAAGUUCCGACCUGCACGAAUGGCGUAAUGAUGGCCAGGCUGUCUCCACCCGAGACUCAGUGAAAUUGAACUCGCUGUGAAGAUGCAGUGUACCCGCGGCAAGACGGAAAGACCCCGUGAACCUUUACUAUAGCUUGACACUGAACAUUGAGCCUUGAUGUGUAGGAUAGGUGGGAGGCUUUGAAGCGUGGACGCCAGUCUGCGUGGAGCCAACCUUGAAAUACCACCCUUUAAUGUUUGAUGUUCUAACGUUGGCCCCUGACCGGGGUUGCGGACAGUGUCUGGUGGGUAGUUUGACUGGGGCGGUCUCCUCCCAAAGCGUAACGGAGGAGCACGAAGGUUAGCUAAUCCUGGUCGGACAUCAGGAGGUUAGUGCAAUGGCAUAAGCUAGCUUGACUGCGAGCGUGACGGCGCGAGCAGGUGCGAAAGCAGGUCAUAGUGAUCCGGUGGUUCUGAAUGGAAGGGCCAUCGCUCAACGGAUAAAAGGUACUCCGGGGAUAACAGGCUGAUACCGCCCAAGAGUUCAUAUCGACGGCGGUGUUUGGCACCUCGAUGUCGGCUCAUCACAUCCUGGGGCUGAAGUAGGUCCCAAGGGUAUGGCUGUUCGCCAUUUAAAGUGGUACGCGAGCUGGGUUUAGAACGUCGUGAGACAGUUCGGUCCCUAUCUGCCGUGGGCGCUGGAGAAUUGAGGGGGGCUGCUCCUAGUACGAGAGGACCGGAGUGGACGCAUCACUGGUGUUCGGGUUGUCAUGCCAAUGGCACUGCCCGGUAGCUAAAUGCGGAAGAGAUAAGUGCUGAAAGCAUCUAAGCACGAAACUUGCCCCGAGAUGAGUUCUCCCUGAGACUAUAAGUCUCCUGAAGGAACGUUGAAGACGACGACGUUGAUAGGCCGGGUGUGUAAGCGCAGCGAUGCGUUGAGCUAACCGGUACUAAUGAACCGUGAGGCUUAACCUU
rnacentral:rRNA from 1 species